rnacentral:rRNA from 1 species
CAGUAGCCGCGGUAAUACGAAGGGGGCUAGCGUUGCUCGGAAUUACUGGGCGUAAAGGGCGCGUAGGCGGACAGUUAAGUUGGGGGUGAAAGCCCGGGGCUCAACCUCGGAAUUGCCUUCAAUACUGGCUGUCUUGAGUAUGAGAGAGGUGAGUGGAAUUUCCGGUGUAGCGGUGAAAUGCGUAGAUAUCGGAAGGAACACCUGUGGCGAAAGCGGCUCACUGGACCAUAACUGACGCUGAUGCACGAAAGCUAGGGGAGCAAACAGGAUUAGAUACCCCGGUAGUCCCUGUCUCUUAUAC